GGGGCUGACUGGUUUUGACAGCGUGUAGAGGUGGUGUGUAAGCGUGCAGAGCAAUGGUGGUCAGCCUCUUUAAUCCUGACAUCGAACAAUUUAACUGGCGAAAACAACUUCGCUCUCGCUGCUUGAUUGAAGUACAGUAGAUCAGCUUAAUCCCCGCGACAGUCGCAGGGACGAGACAUCGCCCGACAGCCCCUGUCCCCUGGCUUGUCGAUCAGGCGGUGUAAGAUUUGGGGAAUAGGACAGCCGCAGCCUCGGGCGGUCGUCCGAAAUUUCAGAGGAUAAGGUCACAGUUGGUCGUCUUCGGCCUGCCGCGACACGAAAACCAACCGAAGAAUACGCACGUAGAAAGCACAUUAGUUCCGCGUUUGGACGAGGGUUCAAGUCCCUCCAGCUCCACU
rnacentral:tmRNA from 1 species